UGAAAGCAGAUACGGCGGGCGACGACAAGGCUAGUGUUGGUCUUCUUUAAAAUAUCCCUCUUCAGUUGCUCGUCCACUAUUUUUGCACCUCCUUUCCUGCCAUUUUUAUGCCGAUCCAGCAUAUCUUCUCCAAGACUAUGCAGUAAUGGGAGAUGCCGACAGGGUUCAAGGACCGGUGGAGCUAUAUCAGUGUAGAUUCCCCAAAAUGGUGCUGCCACUAUUUGAAAUCUCAUUGUGUAGAUUGUAACCCCAAAAUGAGGUCGGCAAAAUAUCUGUUGGCCACAACAGUCGAGAUGACGGAGUCGAUCCAGUUGUUGGAGAUAUAAUCCCAACUACUCCCACCUAACUUAUCAUGUCAUAUUCUCUGCAUGUACAUCAAAUCUGCAGACUUGUCACAAACAGAGAUUGAAGCAGAUUUCCCUUGGAUUGGGAUGGAUUAUCAUGUACCCUGUCUUUUGUCAAAUCACAUUUUUUUAGGCAGUUCAAAAUAUAUUAUUUUAUGUAUGCCCUCUCUCCUCCGUGCUAUGUAGAAGGUCUAUAUAUUUCAUAGCUCUGCAUUUUGUGUGCACUCUCUCAUAGCAGAGUCCAACUCCAUAGAGCUGUUAAAUGUUAGCAGUUGAGUCUGUUAAAAGUUGUGUCUGAAGAAAGUCUAAAUGUAAGAGCAGAAGCUCUGUCAAUCAAUGUGAUACUUCAUUUUGUUGGAUAUAAAUCUGUUUGUCUUUAUUUUGCUACUCCCCUGUUUCCUUCAUGUGGUAUCAGAGCCUGGUUUGUGUAAGUUUUGAAGAUCAGCAUAUAGUGAGUCAUGUUUGCCGGGAGCAAGUGAUUAUUGUCCAUUAAGAAGAGUUCUGUUUUGCAAAUUCGGGUUCGCUUCCUUGCUGUGUCAAUCUGUCACCGCCAUGGAUUGGGUAGAGUAGAGCCUGGGCUUUAUUGGGUUAGUGUUGUUUUAUUAAAUGAGCAAGCUUGUGCCCUUGAGUGUUUUUUAUGGUUUGAAGUUGUAAAUGAUUUGUGAGGAAGGCGGAGCCUAUGAGGUGUGUUCUAAGCUAAGGAAGAAAUCACCAAUACAACGGAGGAUGCCAAAUCACUAGCUUUUUUAUUUGUUCCAGUCAAAGUCAUCCCAAGAGGUAGAUCGUGUGAAUAGUAUCAACCCAAGAGGCAGAUUUGUUUUGUAAGCCCCCAUUGUGUAUCAAGCUUCAGGAAAGCCUUGGAAGUCGCAUAUGCUCUCCUAGAGCCAUAAUAGUCAAGUUAGAUCGCAGCAUAUUUAUAGAAGAUAGCGAUAUGUCAAGAUUGCAACAGUCGGAUGAAUUGUAGAAGAUCGCCAGUGAAAGAGAUGCCGCUCAGAGGCUCCUGCCGCCAUAUCCCAGUCAUAAAGUUGAAGCUGCUAGGAAAACUUGCCACAUAAAGAUUGCAGUCGUUGAAGAACCUGGGAGUCUAGAUUCAGUUGUUGGAGCAAGUUGGAGAAGAGCUGAAGGGAGUCACCGAUAAAAAUUAUUGUUGAAGUGAAGAAGUCUGAGCAAUGUGUUUGGUCAAAAGUGAAAAAGUCACCAGUGAAAAGAACUCGCCACCAAGAAAAAGAAAGUUGUUAGAGGCUCAGAAGAUAAAUCUGUAUGUAGUUUUCAGUCAGUAAGAAGAUAUGAAGUAGAAUGUAAACAAUUUGAGCGGAGGAUGUCAUUGUACGUGUUGUUCUCUUAUAUCCAUUAUGAAAGUGGUUUUGUAAAAUGCAUAGUUUGAGAAGGGUGCAUGAGUAAGUGUCUACGCUGAGAGAGAGCCAAAAUUGAGUGGAAGAACAUUUUCAAAGUCUGCAGUACAAUGAAAGAGGAGUGAUAAAAGAGACCAGAGGAGGAUUUUUUUGUCAAAAGUCAUUAAAAGAUUGGUGAAGUUGUCAAUAGAUAAUGAAGAAAUAUUGUUGAAUGCAGCAGGAUUCUGUAGAUUGUGUAAACAUGUUUGAGGCCAGUAGAGCCCAUUAGAAUUGAGAUCCCCGAGCACCUACAAUGUGACUCUAUGGGAGGUGUUGAUGGUAAAAGUGAAUCACACCUGAAUCUACGAUGGACUGGUUACCAAGAGGGCCAGAGCUCAUGGUUAGAGCAUCCCAACAGGAUCAUGGGAUUUCCUAGGUUUGAUCUCUAAAAUUUGAAAGUUUUAGAUGCCAAAGCAUCAGUGGAAGAAGUGAAGAAUGAAAUUGGAAUUAUGAAAAUUGGUAGUUGUGAUUAAGGGGGAGUGUUGGAGAUAUAAUCCCAACUACUCCCACCUAACUUAUCAUGUCAUAUUCUCUAUAUGUACAUCAGAUCUGCAGACUUGUCACAAACAGAGAUUGAAGCAGAUUUCCCUUGGAUUUGGAUGGAUUAUCAUGUACCCUGUCUUUUGUCAAAUCACAUUUUUUUGGGCAGUUCAAAAUAUAUUAUUUUAUGUAUGCCCUCUCUCCUCCGUGCUAUGUAGAAGGUCUAUAUAUUUCAUAGCUCUGCAUUUUGUAUGCACUCUCUCAGAGCAGAGUCCAGCUCCAUAGAGCUGUUAAAUGUUAGCAGUUGAGUCUCUGUUAGAAGUUGUGUCUGAAGAAAGUCUAAAUGUAAGAGCAGAAGCUCUGUCAAUCAAUGUGAUACUUCAUUUUGUUGGAUAUAAAUCUGUUUGUCUUUAUUUUGCUACUCCCCUGUUUCCUUCACCAGUCUGUCUCAUUACAAUCGAAUGGUUAAUAAAUAUCUACCAGGGCUCCGAAGAUGUAGACGCAGAGACUGGUGUGCACUGGUCAAUAGCGUUUUGGGGAUCAGGUUGAGUUUGCGGACUCACUCCAGAAGCGGACACAAAUCUACGGAAAGGAAGGGGACAGAUUCGUUCCAAAUCGUUUCGAAUGGACCGAACACCAGACCCAUCUUAGGAAAGAUCUCAUUGACAAGUUUGAGGAGUUGAGGUAAGGAACCCAAAUACAUUCCAUUGAAGGUAAGGCUAAUAGGACUGCCUCCGAACACAAAGACACGGAUAUAGAGAUCCUCGGGGGCAAACGGUACAACAGAUUGCCAUCAUUCUACAAGCUCUGUCACGUUAUCGUUUCCGGUUAUUGUUUCCGGUUGUAGUUAUUCUAGCUCCAAAACGACAUCUUGUUGAGUUGUCAUAGUUGAGAAAUAUUUUGGGAAUUAUAGAGUAUAUUGCAGAUUAUAAAAGUUUUGUUUUCAUGUUCA